UACGGAGGAUCCGAGCGUUAUCCGGAUUUAUUGGGUUUAAAGGGUGCGUAGGCGGCCUUUUAAGUCAGCGGUGAAAGUCUGUGGCUCAACCAUAGAAUUGCCGUUGAAACUGUCAGACUUGAGUUGGCGAGAAGUACGCGGAAUGCGCGGUGUAGCGGUGAAAUGCAUAGAUAUCGCGCAGAACUCCGAUUGCGAAGGCAGCGUACCGGCGCCACACUGACGCUGAGGCACGAAAGCGUGGGGAUCGAACAGG
rnacentral:rRNA from 1 species